rnacentral:lncRNA from 1 species
GCACCUGCAGUGGGCUCUGUGCAGAGGUGACGGUGACCUUAAAGCUUGUCACCGAUGACGGGAGCCAGGAAGACCGGCGGUGGGAAGCUCAUAGUAAAUGACCCUUUCCAGCGAGAGGCUGGGGGCCGCCAAGAGCUCUAGGGUCUCGGGAGAGAAUAAGCAGAGGCGCAGCCCCCGGGGGUGGGGAGCCGCGCUCCCUCCCAGGCCCGACCUCUCUCUCUCCGUGGGAGGGGUCACCCCUAGUUUGUACCAGGUCAGAAUAACGGGGCCAAAAUGUUCUGGGAAGUAAGACCCGACCCUGCCCGCACCCCCCGCGGGCACCCCCGCCCCAGGAGCACACAGAGGGCAGAGGCCUGGAGGCUUCUCAGGUCCGAGGUGGAACUUGGGUGAUUUUGAGCAGCUGAGAAUAGAAGGAACAAGGAAGCAGCAAUUUCCCUUCUCAGAAGCAGACUCGGGGUGGAGGGUGGGCUGUCCUCCCCGGCGCAACUGCGAGAUAGGCAUCCCGUCUGGAGUUUUAGUCUCCCAGCAGAAAGGAGUUUGGCUCAGAUGAAUUGUGCCCGUGGUUUCGUUACUCCGUAGCUAAGCGCCAGGCACCGCUUUCCUGCUUCUUGCAGCCUACGCAGCCAAAACCAGCAGCAGCGCCACCACUUUGUGGAGGGAAAAUUGGAGGGCAGCUGUUUCCUCUCAACGGAGACGCAUCCAGGUCUGUGGUGACCUCAGCCCGGAAAGCAUUGGAUCCAGGCCUUUUCUACAGUUUCGGCAUCGCCAGGACCCAGCUUCUGAAACCCUGCUCUUCGUCCGUCGUUUCCAGUAGAUGAGGAAGUGCCAGGGAAGAAAGGUGUCCCCGUGGGCUGUGCAUGGGGACAGAAAGGGAGCGCUUAGUGCAGUGGCUAAUCCACCAGUGCCUGGAACUGGAGAAUCACUUACGGCGCGGGCUGUUGACUUACACGUAUUUGCUGAGCGCUGGGCAUUGGUGCUGUGUGCGGAAGACCAACGAAAAACCCAGCCAGGUACCCCUGACACCCCACCAGCUGCCCAGGGGAAACGGCUCACAGGGAAACGGCUCUGCAGGUGGGGAAGGGCCUCGGGUGUCUGAUGAGAACCAGGAACCCCACUGGACAUGUGUGGUUCUCACCACACUCUGUGCUGGAUGCCUGGAGGAAUCAUGUCCACGCCAGGGUGGUACCGUCAGAGGGGUGGGUGACUCCUGAGUGGAAUUUACUCUAGAUGAAAAUCUCCAGGGAUUAUACCUCUCAGCAUCUUUGCAGACACAGAAACCGGAGAAUCUGAACUUUUUUUUUUCAUUUUUAUUGGCCACAGUGUGCAGUGGCUUGAUGUGGGACUCAUCAGUUCUCAGACCAGGGACUGAACUCAGGCUGCCGCACUGAAAGCGCCAAGUCCUAACCACUAGGCCGCCAGAGAACCCUGGAGGAUCCUAAGUUUUGACUCCCGUGGGCCAGAAAAGUGCGCUGGGGCUGGAUGUCGGGUGUGCUGUGGACACAGGGACCUGGUUCCAGGACGGGCGCGGAGCUCCAGGGUCUGAGGUGGCUCACUGGGGACAUGCGGCAAGUUUGGAGACAAAGGUCAGAGUGAGCCAGGCCUAGGAGCAAUUGGGUUUAAGAUCAAAGACAACUGGAGACGAAGGCUCUGUCAACUCCCCUGGACUUGGGCAGAGCCGCUCCACCUGCUGUGUGGGGCCGCACAGGCGCUCUGCCCGCACCUGAUUCCACUUCAGGUUGAAAAGCAGGUCGGCUUCUCCCAGGGGAUCUGUGCACACUCAACACUGUGAGCAGCCGGCCCCCUGCAGCCACGACUCAGAGGCUCCUGAAAGCUGCCUUUGUCACGGUCCUGCAGCAAGUCACAGCUCGAGGGUCCGGGAGGAAAAGCUGAAACUCUAGAGGCUGUGGUUUUGUGCUUUAGGUUUAUUUCGGGAUGGUGAUAAAGGCCUUGAAUCCCCAGGGAUGCCAGAUAGCGCCAGGCUGUGCUUGAGCUCUGAAAGGCAGCCUGGCACUGCUGCGGGGGAAGGGCUCGAGGCCUGGCCUUGCAGCAGGAUUUCGAGGCCGGUGUCAGAGAAGAGGUGGAGACAGGAGAGGACCCAGGCGAUGAGAGGAAAACGCAGAUCUCAGGGCGGGGAGGGCCCGGCCGGCAGGGCUGUCCUGGAGGGCAGGCCAAGGCGCGGCCUCACUCUGGAUUCCUGAUCAGGAGCUGAGAACCUACUGC